GCGGGGAUAGCUCAGUUGAGAGAGCGUUAGACUGAAUAUCUAAAGGUCAGGUGUUUGAUCCACCUUCACCGCA